UUUAGCGGGCGGAUCGGGUGGAGUAAUUGUCUUAGGAAUUCUGCCCCUAUUAGUGGGGGACAACCAUUCCGAAAGGGGAUGCUUAAUACCGCCAUACGUCCUACGGGAGAAAAGCAGGGGAUUCUUCGGACCCUUGCGCUUAAUAGAUGAGCCUAAGUCGGAUUAGCUAGUUGGUGGGGUAAAGGCCUUACCAAGGCGACGAUCUGUAGCGGGUCUGAGAGGAUGAUCCGUCCACACUGGGACUGAGACACGGCCCAGACUCCUACGGGAGGCAGCAGUGGGGAAUAUUGGACAAUGGGGGGAACCCUGAUCCAGCCAUGCCGCGUGUGUGAAGAAGGCCUUAUGGUUGUAAAGCACUUUAAGCGAGGAGGAGGCUACUGAGACUAAUACUCUUGGAUAGUGGACGUUACUCGCAGAAUAAGCACCGGCUAACUCUGUGCCAGCAGCCGCGGUAAUACAGAGGGUGCGAGCGUUAAUCGGAUUUACUGGGCGUAAAGCGUGCGUAGGCGGCUUUUUAAGUCGGAUGUGAAAUCCCCGAGCUUAACUUGGGAAUUGCAUUCGAUACUGGGAAGCUAGAGUAUGGGAGAGGAUGGUAGAAUUCCAGGUGUAGCGGUGAAAUGCGUAGAGAUCUGGAGGAAUACCGAUGGCGAAGGCAGCCAUCUGGCCUAAUACUGACGCUGAGGUACGAAAGCAUGGGGAGCAAACAGGAUUAGAUACCCUGGUAGUCCAUGCCGUAAACGAUGUCUACUAGCCGUUGGGGCCUUUGAGGCUUUAGUGGCGCAGCUAACGCGAUAAGUAGACCGCCUGGGGGAGUACGGUCGCAAGACUAAAACUCAAAUGAAAUUGACGGGGGCCCGCACAAGCGGUGGAGCAUGUGGUUUAAUUCGAUGCAACGCGAAGAACCUUACCUGGCCUUGACAUACUAGAAACUUUCCAGAGAUGGAUUGG
rnacentral:rRNA from 1 species